CUAUUGUCAUUUAUGUACGUUUAAAAACGUUUCAUCAUAUUAGCGAGUGAGUGCCUUUACCAAUCAUUGGUACAUUUAUAUUAAUGAGCUCCAAGCAAACUUCAGGUUGCCACUCGAAUUUUUCCUUACAAAUGGAGCCAAUAAAUUUUGAUGACUUUACAAGUCAUCUCAAAUAGCCACAAAUCAACGGCAAGCCAAUAUAUAAUAAUAAAAAA
rnacentral:lncRNA from 1 species